UGGCUAUAUCAUGUUAAAACACUCAUUCUCAUCUGAUCACUGAAGUUAAGCAAUGUUGGAUCUUGUCAGUACCUAGAUGGGUGACUGUUUGGAAAUACCAGAUGCAGUAA